rnacentral:rRNA from 1 species
AGUGAACGCUGGCGGCAGGCCUAACACAUGCAAGUCGAGCGGCAGCACAGGAGAGCUUGCUCUCUGGGUGGCGAGCGGCGGACGGGUGAGGAAUACAUCGGAAUCUACCUUCUUGUGGGGGAUAACGUAGGGAAACUUACGCUAAUACCGCAUAAGACCUGAGGGUGAAAGCAGGGGACCGCAAGGCCUUGCGCGAGAAGAUGAGCCGAUGUCGGAUUAGCUUGUUGGUGAGGUAAAGGCUCACCAAGGCGACGAUCCGUAGCUGGUCUGAGAGGAUGAUCAGCCACACUGGAACUGAGACACGGUCCAGACUCCUACGGGAGCUG